CACAGUGUAUAAGAAUGACAGCAGCAGUACUGCAGGGGAGGCAGAGGCGUCAUGACAGCUCCACAGUACAAAAUAUGAACAAAACUGUUGAGCUGCAUCAAUACUGAAUUUCUGGACCAACAACAAUAACCAAUACGCCUUGUUGUGGCUAAUACUGACACUAAUAACUGAUACCACAGUGGCGUUCCUGCCUGGAUGGGGACUUGUACCUGCAAUCUUCUUGUGUGGGAUGGUGGUGCGGUCUAGUAAGCUCUGUAUGAGCAACUUCAAAAGAAUGGAGGUCCCCAUCACGUGUUGUCAGUGAGAUAAAAAUGAUUGGUUGUGAUUUUCAGGAGUGAUUCCAAUAUUAUACUAGUAACAAUAUAAUUUUACAUUUUAUCAGAGAAUAAUAUAUUGCAUACCCCUAAAAAAGACCUAUGAAGUCCACACAAAAAGAUCAAAAGUGUUCCUUCACUGUGCACCAAAACACAAGUCAACACCACAAUGCAAAACUGUAUUGUAAUUAGAACUACAGUCAUAAACUG